AGGACGAACGCUGGCGGCGUGCUUAACACAUGCAAGUCACGGGGGCCCGCAAGGGUAACCGGCGAACGGGUGCGUAACACGUGAGCAACCUGCCUAGAUGUGGGGGAUAGCCGGCCCAACGGCCGGGUAAUACCGCAUACGGUCACGAGGAGGAGUCUCCUUGUGAAGAAACCUCCGGGGCAUUUAGAGGGGCUCGCGGCCUAUCAGCUAGUUGGCGGGGUAAUGGCCCACCAAGGCUUCGACGGGUAGCUGGUCUGAGAGGAUGGCCAGCCACAUUGGGACUGAGAGACGGCCCAGACUCCUACGGGAGGCAGCAGUGGGAAUCUUGCGCAAUGGCCGAAAGGCUGACGCAGCGACGCCGCGUGUGGGAGGACGCCCGUUCGGGGUGUAAACCACUGGUUGCCCGGGACGAACAUCCACUUUCGAGUGGACUGACGGUACCGGGUGAGGAGCACCGGCUAACUCCGCGCCAGCAGCCGC
rnacentral:rRNA from 1 species